rnacentral:rRNA from 1 species
AGAACGAACGCUGGCGGCAGGCUUAACACAUGCAAGUCGAACGCGUGUAGCAAUACACGAGUGGCGCACGGGUGAGUAACGCGUGGAUAUCUGCCUUUUGGUUCGGAAUAACCCCCGGGAAACUGGGGCUAAUACCGGAUGGUUCCUACGGGAUAAAGAUUUAUCGCCAAAAGAUGAGUCCGCGUACGAUUAGCUAGUUGGUGAGGUAAUGGCUCACCAAGGCGACGAUCGUUAGCUGGUCUGAGAGGACGAUCAGCCACACUGGGACUGAGACACGGCCCAGACUCCUACGGGAGGCAGCAGUGGGGAAUAUUGGACAAUGGGGGCAACCCUGAUCCAGCCAUGCCGCGUGAGUGAUGAAGGCCUUCGGGUUGUAAAGCUCUUUUGGCGGGGACGAUGAUGACGGUACCCGCAGAAUAAGCCCCGCUAACUUCGCGCCAGCAGCCGC